rnacentral:rRNA from 1 species
GACGAACGCUGGCGGCGCGCCUAACACAUGCAAGUCGAACGAGCGAGAGAGAGCUUGCUUUCUCAAGCGAGUGGCGAACGGGUGAGUAACGCGUGAGGAACCUGCCUCAAAGAGGGGGACAACAGUUGGAAACGACUGCUAAUACCGCAUAAGCCCACGGCUCGGCAUCGAGCAGAGGGAAAAGGAGCAAUCCGCUUUGAGAUGGCCUCGCGUCCGAUUAGCUAGUUGGUGAGGUAAUGGCCCACCAAGGCGACGAUCGGUAGCCGGACUGAGAGGUUGAACGGCCACAUUGGGACUGAGACACGGCCCAGACUCCUACGGGAGGCAGCAGUGGGGAAUAUUGCACAAUGGGGGAAACCCUGAUGCAGCGACGCCGCGUGGAGGAAGAAGGUCUUCGGAUUGUAAACUCCUGU